GGUAAAAGGGGWRCCGUAUACAUGCAGUCGAGCGAACUKWWUAAGMKYGYGYUUCUAUGACGUUACGGACGGACGAGUGAAUAACGCGCGACCUGCCUGUCUGACUGASUUAACUAACUUAAGGAAACCGUAAUACCGACCAAUUAUUUUCUUCUCCUUCAUGGGAGAUGAWUGAMAGAUUCUUUCGGCUAUCACUUACAGAUGCCCCCGCGGUGCAUUAGCUAGUUGAUGAGGUAGCGGCUCACCACGGCAACGAUGCAUAGACGACCUGAGAGGGCGAUCGGCCAAACUGGGACUGASACACGGCCCAGACUCCUACGGGAGGCAGCAGUAGGGAAUCUUCCGCAAUGGACGAAAGUCUGACGGAGCAACGCCGCGUGAGUGAUGAAGGCUUUCGGGUCGUAAAACUCUGUUGUUAGGGAAGAACAAGUACGARAGUGCUUGCUCGUACCUUGACGGUACCUAACCAGAAAGCCACGGCUAACUACGUGCCAGCAGCCGCGGUAAUACGUAGGUGGCAAGCGUUAUCCUGAAUUAUUGGRCGUAAAGCGCGCGCAGGC
rnacentral:rRNA from 1 species